rnacentral:rRNA from 1 species
GAUGAACGCUGGCGGCGUGCCUAAUACAUGCAAGUCGAACGCUGGAGAUCUAGCUUGCUAGAUCGAAGGAGUGGCGAACGGGUGAGUAAUACAUAAGCAACCUACCCACGAAGACUGGGAUAAUCUCUGGAAACGGGGACUAAUACCGGAUAGGUAAUCGGAAGGCAUCUUCUGGUUAUUAAAGGUUAAAAACACUGGUGGAUGGGCUUAUGGCGCAUUAGUUAGUUGGUGAGGUAACGGCCCACCAAGACGAUGAUGCGUAGCCGGCCUGAGAGGGUGAACGGCCACAUUGGGACUGAGACACAGCCCAGACUCCUACGGGAGGCAGCAGUAGGGAAUUUUCGGCAAUGGGGGCAACCCUGACCGAGCAACGCCGCGUGAGUGAAGACGGCCUUCGGGUUGUAAAGCUCUGUUGUAAGGGAAGAACGGUAGAUAGAGAAUAUCUAAGUGACGGUACCUUACCAGAAAGCCACGGCUAACUACGUG